GAAUACACAAUUAUACUUCUCUAGAGUUGGACGGGAAAUUUUCAAAUAGAGAUAUAAAAAUUAAUAAGAACUGGAAUCUGUAGAAAAAGGAAUGCAAGCAUACAUAGUGUGAUCCAUAAAACACAUAUAGAGCUGCUUAAUGCUAUAAAAAGCACUCACAGAAGGGAAGCUGUGCCAGGCUCUAUGUAUCAAGCUCCAGGGUGCCAC